rnacentral:rRNA from 1 species
GAUGAACGCUAGCGACAGGCCUAACACAUGCAAGUCGAGGGGCAGCAUAAAGGUAGCAAUACUUUGGUGGCGACCGGCGCACGGGUGAGUAACACGUAUGCAACCUACCUGUAAGAGGGGAAUAACCCGGAGAAAUUCGGACUAAUACCGCAUAAUACUGAUUAUCUGCAUGGAUUGAUCAGUUAAACAUUUAUGGCUUACAGAUGGGCAUGCGUAUGAUUAGAUAGUUGGUAGGGUAACGGCCUACCAAGUCAACGAUCAUUAGGGGUUCUGAGAGGAAGGUCCCCCACACUGGUACUGAGACACGGACCAGACUCCUACGGGAGGCAGCAGUGAGGAAUAUUGGUCAAUGGGCGCAAGCCUGAACCAGCCAUGUCGCGUGCAGGAAGACUGCCCUAUGGGUUGUAAACUGCUUUUAUAGUAGAAGAAACACAUCUACGUGUAGAUGUCUGCCAGUAUACUAUGAAUAAGCAUCGGCUAAC